rnacentral:rRNA from 1 species
AUUGAACGCUGGCGGCAGGCCUAACACAUGCAAGUCGAACGAGUGGCGGACGGGUGAGUAAUGUCUGGGAAACUGCCUGAUGGAGGGGGAUAACUACUGGAAACGGUAGCUAAUACCGCAUACCAUCAGAUGUGCCCAGAUGGGAUUGGCUUGUUGGUGGGGUAACGGCUCACCAAGGCGGCGAUCCCUAGCUGGUCUGAGAGGAUGACCGCCCACACUGGAACUGGGACACGGUCCAGACGCCGGAGGGAGGCAGCGGUGGGGAAUAUUGCACAAGGGGCGCAAGCCUGAUGCAGCCAUGCCGCGUGUAUGAAGAAGGCCUUCGGGUUGGAAAGUACUGUCAGCGGGGAGGCGUUACCCGCAGAAGAAGCACCGGCUAACUCCGUGCCAGCCGCCGCGGUAAUUC